rnacentral:sRNA from 1 species
CUCAACCGCAAGGAGGGGGAUGCCUAAGGCAGGGCUAGUGACUGGGGUGAAGUCGUAACAAGGUAGCCGUACCGGAAGGUGUGGCUGGAUCACCUCCUUAAAGGGAGACCUAAUUCGGGUAGGAGACGAAAAAAAAGUAGUCGCUACCAAGAAUCAAUCCCAAAAGGUCGGAGCGAGGCGAAAUUGGCUUUCAAACUAGGUUCUGGGUUCACACAAGACCUGAAUCAGGAACAAGGGCUAUUAGCUCAGGUGGUUAGAGCGCACCCCUGAUAAGGGUGAGGUCCCUGGUUCGAGUCCAGGAUGGCCCACCUGUACAGGUGGCAAAAACAAAGAAGCGAGGAAUCAGCACCUUAUCUUAUUUAUAUAGUAAGAGAGAAUGCUGGCUCUGAGUUCAGAGUCCAGAGGAACCUUGAAAACUGCAUAGAGCUAGGUGAAAAAGCCAAAAAAGAAGACCGCAAGGUCAAGCUAAUAAGGGCUAACGGUG